rnacentral:lncRNA from 10 species
AAACCAUAAACAUUUCUCUUCAUAGCAGGGCUCAGUGAUUCAUUAGGCCACCCUUCUGGAGAGGGAGGGUCUUUAUAAACUUAGUGUCACAAAACCCUGGAGGUAUCCAGUCCUCUCUGCCAUCCUGCUGUUUAAGGAGUGAAAAUUAUCUUUGCAUCCUCCCUUGUUUCCAGUGCAUUAGGGUUUUGAAAGGGACAAUGAUAAAAGUAAUAAUGAUAGUUGCUGCCAUUUCCUGUACUUUCCAAGUGCCAAGAGAACCAACCUAAGAACCACAAAAAACUAAAGAGGCUGCCAGUGGGAAGGAGUCAUCUGGCCUCAUCAUGGAAAGAGCCAGUGUUGUCUCCUCCUCAUUUUUCCUGAUGUCACUUCAUUGCUUUGUCGCAAUAGAGAAGUAUAGGAACCACCAGUGACAAUGACUCCACAGCAUAGGAGUUGGCCGGCUGUGGCUCUGAGCAGAUGGCAGACCUUGAGACUUCUUGGAUACCAUAAUUGUAGAGUCUCAUGUGGACUGAAGAAAAACAAGCAAUAGAAUUCUUGGCUUAGGAAAAAACAGAUGGAUGAAGUGAGCUGCAGCAUCAAUGAAGCAAAAGGCCCACCUGGCAAGGAACAGAGUGGCCUCCAGCCGACAGAUAGUAAGAAACUGAAUCCCGUCUACCAGCACGGAGAGAACUCGGAAGUGGAUUGCUACCAAGUUGAAACCUGAAAUAACUACGAUGAGCUGACACAUGGAUGGUAGCCUGUGAAAGGUCCUGAAAGCAGAGGCCCAACUGAGCCACACUCAGACUCAGACCCACAGAAACUAUGAGAUAAUAUGUAUGGUGUUUUAUGCCUCUGAGUUUUGCAGUGAUUUGUUACUCAGCAAUUGCAGACUAAUACAGUCCUAUGUUUACCUCUUCUUUCAUUUUCCUCUUUCUCUCAGAAGUUCCUCAUCUCCCCACUAAGUCCUCCUGGCCUCCUCUUAAGGCAAGCUCUCUAUUCGGAUUACUUAGACACUGAAGCUGCAUGUGAAGAACAAAGUGUGGGGCUGACAGGAGUCUUGGAGAUAAAGGAGAAUGCUGCCUCAGCUGUGGCCAUCCACCAAGUCCAAAGACCCCACCAGAGCAACUGCUUGGUCCUCAACACUCACUACCCACACCUGCUUCCCCACAAGAUAGAGUGAUAAUAUGAUGGCAGCCUGAACGCGGCACCCAUGGUCUUGAAAUGGACCAGGUGAUACAGAUGCAAGUGAAAAUGCAGCACAUCGCUUCCUUGGAAGAUCAUUACAAAGAGCCAGAUCCCACACCAUUGUCAUUGAAGUAUUCAUAGAAAAUUUCAAAAGGCAUAUGAAGACAUUUUAAAGGCACAUCCAUCUGGUCACUACACAAAACACAAUGAUACCAACUGUUGUAUUGCAAUAUUUCUUUAACUUGACUGGGCUACCAACUGCUACUAUCUUGAAUAGCACCUUUAAGAUGGCCACCAUUGUAGGAUUUUUUUCAAAAGGGCAGGAGCAGUUCUGGGUCUCUAGCCUGUGCCAAGUUGAAAGAAGAUGAGAAGUAGUCCCGAAGUAUGAAGUAUAAAGGAUUUUUUUUCCUGUUCUUCCUCUGAGGUCCUAUCAGGAAGCAAAUACACAGGGAUGGAAAAAACAUGAGAGCCCUGAGGGGCAGAAGGAUAGAGAAACUAGAUUUUCUACCUGGGAAAACAAAUUGCAAAUUAAUAUUUUCCAAACACCAUCUCCCUCUUUGAUGCUAUAAAGAGCACAGAUCAGGCAGAAAGCAUGUCCACUGCCUCAAAGAACUUACAGUCUCAUGACAAAGUUCAGAUGACAAUAUAAAAGCAAACAGUCUGGUGUGUUCCUUCUCUUUCAUUCUCCCUGUUUAAUCCAUAAUCAAGUCUUGUUGAUUCUACCUGCAAAAUCUGAGUGCUUCUUACCACCACCACCCCUGCCACCCUCAUUGCUUUUGUCCUACUCCAAGCCACCAUCUUUCCCUGGGAUGACCCCAAUAGCCUUUGCUAGUACUGCUUUCUGCUUCCAAUCCAUACUUUAUAUUGUACAUAAUAUUUUUGUAGCUCCAAAGAAUUCCCAUAGCACAGAAUCAUUAACACGCCUUUAAGUUCCUUGACACUUUAGCUUCUUUUCCUCCUCUCUGAACUAUCUUCUGCCACCCUCACUCACUAUAACCCGGCCUCAUUCACCUUCAUCUGUUCUUCAAGCUCAUCAAGCUAUCUUCUUCCUUAGUGCCUUUCUCAUUUGUGUUUCUCUAUGCCUGAAACAAUCCACGUUAUCCUCCUUCACCCAGGUCAUUCCUCCUCAGCACUUAGCUCUCCCUGACAUGCCACAUUCUCACACUUUUCAUGACCCUCCACUCUUCAUCAGGACUCUGUUUCAUUGCCUCUUACAUCUAUUUUUUCUUAACACAUCACAAUUUAUAGGUUACAUAUUUGUGUAUGUCCUGUGUUGUGUAAUGUGCAUCUUCCUCACUAGAUUACAAACUCUAUGAGGGCAGGUACCAAAUAUAUUUUGUCCAUCCUCUGUCAUCGAAUAAAUGAUUGGAUGGUGCUCCCAUACUUCAGAAUUUUCACAGUUCUUUAUGUCUGCUUGUCACCCAGCAUUUCUAUGAUAGUUACUUGUAUACAUACCUGGUUGUGCCUAAAAAGAAAUCUGAACUCCUUGAAGAUGAGAUCUGUUCUUAUAAAUCUCUAAAUCCACCUUAAGUCCAGCAAGAGCCCUAUAUAUAAUUGGCACUGAUAAAUAUGUAAUGAAUGGAUGAAACAAUUGAAUUGUGCCUAUGAGUCAUCAUAGGUGAUGUCACAGUGUUUCAGUUAAAUGUAUUAAAGAAGGUAAUCUUCUCUUGCCUUUCUGUAUGUAUGUGUAUAUAUAUAUAUAUAUAUAUAUAUAUAUAUAUAUAUAUAUAUAUAUAUAUAUAUAUGACUGGUGGUUCCAUGCAAAGCUGUAAGCCAAUAUGAUAAGAUUAAAAAUUUCUGACUCACAGUGAUUCAGUAAUCUAAUAAUCUCCUUACAGUGAGGAUGUGAUGAAUUUGUUUUAAAAUGUAUUUCAUAAGGGAAAAAGUUUUACUCUGUGUCUUCCUAAUAGGAAUUUUUUUUAAAUGUAGGAGAUGUUCCAGAAAAAAAAAAAACUAUCUUGAUGAAUUAAAUAAUACUUUUCUCAUGUCCCCUCUUCUCCUCUCCUGUCUUCUCUGUAUGUUUUAAAUCGGAAUGUUUCAA